GCCUCUGUAGCUCAGUUGGUUAGAGCGCUGUACCGGAAUCGCAGGGCCGCAUUUUCGAUUCCUGCCAGAAGUC
rnacentral:tRNA from 1 species